UACGGGGGGAGCAAGCGUUGUUCGGAUUUACUGGGCGUGAAGGGCGCGUAGGCGGUCAGCACAAGUCAAUUGUGAAAUCUCCGAGCUUAACUCGGAAAGGUCAACUGAAACUGUGCGACUAGAGUGCGGAAGGGGCAACUGGAAUUCUUGGUGUAGCGGUGAAAUGCGCAGAUAUCAGGAGGAACACCAAUGGCGAAGGCAGCUCGCUGGGACGUGACUGACGCUGAGACGCGAAAGCGUGGGGAGCAAACAGG
rnacentral:rRNA from 1 species